GAUCCUGGCUCAGGACGAACGCUGGCGGCGUGCUUAACACAUGCAAGUCGAGCGAGGAGAUAACUGGAAGUUCUUCGGGAUGGAAGGUUAUGUUCGAGCGGCGGACGGGUGAGUAACGCGUGAACAAUCUGUCCCAUGCAGGGGGAUAACACUUGGAAACAGGUGCUAAUACCGCAUAAGACCACGGAGGGGCAUCCCUUUGGGGUAAAAGGAGGAAUCCGGAAUGGGGUGAGUUCGCGUCCGAUUAGCUAGUUGG
rnacentral:rRNA from 1 species